CGAAACCUCCCAUUCCAA
rnacentral:miRNA from 1 species